CACCUCCUCUAGGCAGAGGGCCCCACGUAACGGUACCUCCGAGAUGCCCAGGGGCCAAGGUGAUGAACAAAGUGCAAGGUGGUGGAAUGCAGACCUAAACUUGCCUUUAUGGAUUUCCCUGCUGCCUGGAUGUUGGAAGGGGGAGCGAGACAGUAUGGGUUGCCGCUGAACUAGCAUAGCUGCUGGACCUCGCUUUUUGAGGAAGAGAAUUGAAUCCUGCUAUGCAUUCCAUCAACUAGCAAGAGCAAAGGGGGCAAAAAUGAGUAUGCAGCAAGAAUUAAAGAUACUGGUAAUUUCUCAGUACUUGUUUGCCAUCCCUGCCUUGGAGCCAGGUGAUUAUGGACUGAAACCUCUACAAACUGGACCUAUGCAGAAAAAACUGUGGAGCACAAUGGUCAGCUGACAGGUGAACAAGCAGGCAAAGCAUCAUAAAGACCUACUACAACAACAGGAGAACCAAAAAGAUGUCACCUGUGGCCUACAAGAAAGGACAGUGCACACUGUCCAAUAUAGUAAGAAGCUCCUGACAAAAGAGAAAGACAAGAGAGGAGACAAGAACGGCCUGGAACACAGGAAAGGAAAGCUAAGUACAUGUGCUGUCAGUGAAUCCAACUCAGGACCUUGGGCUUGCAAGGCAGGCAGUGGCACCACUGAGGUAAAUCCUCUGCCCCCAUCUUUUAGGUUUUGUAAGCAAGUACACAGCUGAUGUGAAAAUGUUGCUAUUUAUUCUAAAUGUGCAAUAUAUAUUAAGAAUUUAAUCCUUUAUUGUGUUGAUAUUUUAUGUUCCUCUUAAC
rnacentral:lncRNA from 1 species